GUGCUUGCUUUGGCAGUACACAUACUAAAAUUGGAACAAUACAGAGAUGAUUAACAUGGCCCUUGUGCAAAGAUGACAUAUAAUGUACAUCAAUUACAUACUGUAAUA
rfam:Mustela putorius furo unplaced genomic scaffold scaffold00057, whole genome shotgun sequence.